GAUGAAGAACGCAGCGAAAUGCGAUAACUAAUGUGAAUUGCAGAAUUCAGUGAAUCAUCGAGUCUUUGAACGCACAUUGCGCCCCCUGGUAUUCCGGGGGGCAUGCCUGUCCGAGCGUCAUUGCUGCCCUCAAGCACGGCUUGUGUGUUGGGCUCCGUCCCCCCGGGGACGGGUCCGAAAGGCAGCGGCGGCACCGAGUCCGGUCCUCGAGCGUAUGGGGCUUUGUCACCCGCUCUGUAGGCCCGGCCGGCGCCAGCCGACAACCAAUCAUCCUUUUUUCAGGUUGACCUCGGAUCAGGUAGGGAUACCCGCUGAACUUAAGCAUAUCAAUAAGCGGAGGA
rnacentral:misc_RNA from 1 species